rnacentral:misc_RNA from 1 species
GAGACCACACAGAAGAACAGAGAUCUCAAAGGUCAAAAUUAAGGAAUGGAUGUGAGGAAAAUAGUGGUGGUAGUAGAAGAUGUAGAGGUUGCAAGAACAGCACUUGAAUGGGCUCUUCACAACCUCCUUCGUUUUGGAGAUUUGAUUACUCUUCUUCAUGUCUUUUCUUCUCCUUCAAAUUCAAGAGCCAAGAACAAGAUGAGGCUUCUUCGCCUCAAAGGCUUCCAAUUGGCUCUCUCAUUCAAAGAUAUAUGUAACAACAGUUUCUUUAAUGUAAUCUUGUAAUACAUAACAUACAAGAGAGAGGAUUUGCAUUUGUUUCAUGAUUUUGUUUAGUCACAGAAGUGUCUGUCUCUGUGUUUUGUGCAGACAAAUAUAGAGAU